rnacentral:rRNA from 1 species
CCUACGGGAGGCAGCAGUGAGGAAUAUUGGACAAUGGGCGCAAGCCUGAUCCAGCUAUGCCGCGUGAAUGAAGAAGGCCUUAGGGUUGUAAAAUUCUUUCAGUGGAGAAGAACAUGACGGUACCCACAGAAGAAGUCCCG